GCUCUAGUAACGGCGAGUGAAGCAGCAAUAGCUCAAAUUUGAAAUCUGGCGUCUUCGACGUCCGAGUUGUAAUUUGUAGAGGAUGCUUCUGAGUAACCACCGACCUAAGUUCCUUGGAACAGGACGUCAUAGAGGGUGAGAAUCCCGUAUGCGGUCGGAAAGGUGCUCUAUACGUAGCUCCUUCGACGAGUCGAGUUGUUUGGGAAUGCAGCUCUAAAUGGGAGGUAAAUUUCUUCUAAAGCUAAAUAUUGGCCAGAGACCGAUAGCGCACAAGUAGAGUGAUCGAAAGAUGAAAAGCACUUUGGAAAGAGAGUUAAAAAGCACGUGAAAUUGUUAAAAGGGAAGGGAUUGCAACCAGACUUGCUCGCGGUGUUCCGCCGGUCUUCUGACCGGUCUACUCGCCGCGUUGCAGGCCAGCAUCGUCUGGUGCCGCUGGAUAAGACUUGAGGAAUGUAGCUCCCUCGGGAGUGUUAUAGCCUCUUGUGAUGCAGCGAGCGCCGGGCGAGGUCCGCGCUUCGGCUAGGAUGCUGGCGUAAUGGUCGUAAUCCGCCCGUCUUGAAACACGGACCAAGGAGUCUAACAUCUAUGCGAGUGUUCGGGUGUCAAACCCCUACGCGUAAUGAAAGUGAACGGAGGUGAGAACCGCAAGGUGCAUCAUCGACCGAUCCUGAUGUCUUCGGAUGGAUUUGAGUAAGAGCAUAGCUGUUGGGACCCGAAAGAUGGUGAACUAUGCCUGAAUAGGGUGAAGCCAGAGGAAACUCUGGUGGAGGCUCGCAGCGGUUCUGACGUGCAAAUCGAUCGUCAAAUUUGGGU
rnacentral:rRNA from 1 species